AGGCCAUAGUUAGAGCGGCAGUUAAGGUGGUUUUGCCGUGGUCGACAUGGCCGAUGGUCCCGAUGUUAACGUGGGGCUUUUUGCGUUCGAAUUUCCCACGGGCAGCUUUGACGGUGAAAGAAUCGCGACGGCGAGGGAAUACGUAAGUGGUGGCAACGGUAGUGAGGAAAGGAGGGAGGAAGGGAGAGGAGAGGUGGGUAGGGGUUAGUUUAGAGGGAAUUGAGGAGAAAAAGGCAGAGGUGGUGGUUGAGGAGUGAGUUGGGAAAGGGGAGGCGUGUGGGUAUCUAAGCUUAGAAGAAGCGGCAGUGGCUGCUGCUGUUGAUGAAAUUGCCAUUUCCUUGUAGAGGAGAGGAGAAGAGAGGAAAGGAGGGUUUUGGCCUUUGGCUUUGGAAAAUGAAGAAGAGAAGGUAAAAGAGAUUUGGGUUUGUGUUAUCUUAUUCCUCUGUGGCUUUGAGGAUGAGGGUUUGUGAAAUGGACGGACUAAAAAGAAAGGCUAA
rnacentral:lncRNA from 1 species